GACUCCUGGGUAGAACGUUUGGACU
rnacentral:piRNA from 1 species